rnacentral:rRNA from 1 species
GACGAACGCUGGCGGCAUGCCUAAUACAUGCAAGUCGAGCGGAGUUGAUGGAAAGCUUGCUUUCCUGAUACUUAGCGGCGGACGGGUGAGUAACACGUAGGCAACCUGCCCUCAAGCUUGGGACAACUACCGGAAACGGUAGCUAAUACCGAAUACUUGUUUUCUUCGCCUGAAGAGAACUGGAAAGACGGAGCAAUCUGUCACUUGGGGAUGGGCCUGCGGCGCAUUAGCUAGUUGGUGAGGUAACGGCUCACCAAGGCGACGAUGCGUAGCCGACCUGGGAGUGUGAGCGGCCACACUGGGACUGAGACACGGCCCAGACUCCUCAGGGAGGCAGCAGGAGGGAAUCUUCCGCAAUGGGCGAAAGCCUGACGGAGCAAUGCCGCGUGAGUGAUGAAGGUUUUCGGAUCGUAAAGCUCUGUUGCCAGGGAAGAACGCUUGGGAGAGUAACUGCUCCCAAGGUGACGGUACCUGAGAAGAAAGCCCCGGCUAACUACGUGCCAGCCGCCGCCGUAA